rnacentral:rRNA from 1 species
CGCGAAUUCGCCCUUAUUAGAUACCCUGGGUAGUCCACGCUGUAAACGAUGGAUACUAGGUGUGCGGGGACUGACCCCCUCCGUGCCGCAGCUAACGCAAUAAGUAUCCCACCUGGGGAGUACGAUCGCAAGGUUGAAACUCAAAGGAAUUGACGGGGGCCCGCACAAGCGGUGGAGUAUGUGGUUUAAUUCGACGCAACGCGAAGAACCUUACCAGGGCUUGACAUCCAACUAACGAAGCAGAGAUGCAUUAGGUGCCCUUCGGGGAAAGUUGAGACAGGUGGUGCAUGGUUGUCGUCAGCUCGUGUCGUGAGAUGUUGGGUUAAGUCCCGCAACGAGCGCAACCCUUAUUGUUAGUUGCUACGCAAGAGCACUCUAGCGAGACUGCCGUUGACAAAACGGAGGAAGGUGGGGACGACGUCAAAUCAUCAUGCCCCUUAUGUCCUGGGCCACACACGUACUACAAUGGCGGUCAACAGAGGGAGGCAAAGCCGCGAGGCAGAGCAAAUCCCUAAAAGCCGUCCCAGUUCGGAUUGCAGGCUGAAACCCGCCUGUAUGAAGUUGGAAUCCCUAGUAAUCGCGGAUCAGCAUGCCGCGGUGAAUACGUUCCCGGGCCUUGUACACACCGCCCGUCACACCAUGAGAGUCGGGGACACCCGAAGUCCGUAGUCUAACCGCAAGGGGGACGCGGCCGAAGGUGGGUUCGAUAAUUGGGGUGAAGUCGUAACAAGGUACC